rnacentral:tRNA from 1 species
AAUAGCGUGCUUGACAAAAAGGUCGUUUUGAUAGAACGAAUUAUGAAAGCCAACCUUUCCGCUAUUA